rnacentral:rRNA from 1 species
AAAGCUAACUGUAUUAACUACUAGCUUAGUAUAGUAUCGACUAUGUCGACUAAAAUUCUGGGCAGAAUAAUGAUAAUGACAUUAUCUGUUCAUAAGUCUUGACCAAAUCACGUGCCAGCAGUCGCGGCAAGACGUGGAAGACUAGUGUUAUUCAUCUUAAAUAGGUUUAAAGGGUACCUAGACGGUAAAUCUAGCCCCAAAGGGUACGGAUAUACUAGAGUUUGAUGAGAGGGGGGUAGUACUGACGGAGGAGAGAUGAAAUUUUGUGAUACCGAUAUAAGAGACAGGUAUAGGCGAAAGCAACCCUUUAUGUAAAAACUGACGUUGAAGGACGAAGGCCCUGGUUACCAACAGGAUUAGAUACCCCAGCAGUCUGGGCAGACAAUGAUGAAUGUCAUAGAUUAGAUUAUAUUUAAUCUAUAAAUGAAAGUGUAAGCAUUCCACCUCAAGAGUAAUUUGGCAACAUUGAAACUGAAAUCAUUAGACCGUUUCUGAAACCAGUAGUGAAGUAUGUUGUUCAAUCGGAUGUUCCACGUAAAACCUUGCCACAAUUUGAAUAUCUUUAUUUU